rnacentral:rRNA from 1 species
GACAGAGGGUGCAAACGUUGUUCGGAUUCACUGGGCGUAAAGGGUGCGUAGGUGGUGAGGUAAGUUUGAUGUGAAAUCUCCGGGCUCAACCCGGAAAUGGCAUUGAAUACUAUCUUGCUAGAGGAGUGGAGGGGGGACUGGAAUACUUGGUGUAGCAGUGAAAUGCGUAGAUAUCAAGUGGAACACCAGUGGCGAAGGCGAGUCCCUGGACACUUCCUGACACUGAGGCACGAAAGCUAGGGGAGCAAACAGG